GACGAACGCUGGCGGCGUGCUUAACACAUGCAAGUCGAGCGGAGCGGCGAACGGGUGAGUAACGAGUGAGUAACUGCCCCCCUCUCUGGGAUAACAGUUGGAAACGGCUGCUAAUACCGGAUAGUGGGGGAUGACUCGCGUCCUAUCAGCUUGGUGGUGGGGUAGUGGCCUACCAAGGCGACGACGGUUAGCCGGCCUGAGCGGGCGACCGGCCACAUUUCGCUGAGAUACGGCCCAAACCCCUACGGGAGGCAGCAGUGGGGAAUAUUGCACACUGGGGGAAACCCUGAUGCAGCAACGCGCGUUGGGGAUGACGGCCUUCGGGUUGUAAACCGCUUUCAGCCAUGACGCGGUAGUGGCAUAAGAAGCACCGGCUAACUACGUGCCAGCCGCCGCGGUAAUUC
rnacentral:rRNA from 1 species